CACCGCGGUUAGACGAACAGGCCCAAGUUAAUAAGACUACGGCGUAAAGGGUGGUUAAAAUAUAAUCCCUACUAAAGCCAAAUACUCUCAUGGCUGUCGCACGCUCUCGAGAAUUAGAAGUCCAACAUUACGAAGGUGGCUUUAAUCCCUUUUGAAUCCACGGAAGCCAGGGUA
rnacentral:rRNA from 1 species